AAUCAACGCUGGCGGCGUGCCUCAGACAUGCAAGUCGAACGCGAAAGUUCCCUUCGGGGAAUAAGUAGAGUGGCGCACGGGUGAGUAACACGUAGGUAAUCUACCUUCGGGUGGGGAAUAACCCAGGGAAACUUGGGCUAACACCGCAUGAUGCAGCGGCACCACAUGGUGACAGUUGUUAAAGCGGGGGAUUUUCGGACCUCGCGCCUGAAGAGGAGCCUGCGGCGGAUUAGCUAGNGGUGAGGUAACGGCUCACCAAGGUCACGAUCCGUAGCCGGCCUGAGAGGGCGGUCGGCCACACUGACACUGACAUACGGGUCAGACUCCUACGGGAGGCAGCAGUCGGGAAUUUUGGGCAAUGGGCGAAAGCCUGACCCAGCAACGCCGCGUGAAGGAUGAAAUCCCUCGGGAUGUAAACUUCGCAAGAAUGGGAAGAAUGAACGAGCGCUAAUACCGUUCGUGAUGACGGUACCAUUUGUAAGCUCCGGCUAACUCCGUGCCAGCCGCCGCCGUAA
rnacentral:rRNA from 1 species